UCCUCUCCUCUUCCUCCUCCUCCUUUUCUCUUCUCCACUGUCCUCCAUCUCUCCUCUUAGCUCAUUCUCGACUCUUUCUCCUUGACGACAGAAGUAAGCCCUAAUCCUGUGGCCUUAGUUUCUGUUUAUUUUCCCUCCGUCUCUACACCUUGAACCAGCCAGGGACAGUGCGGACCAAGGAGGAACGGACAGAGGGGAAAAAAAGGUACAGACACCCUGAAACCGGACCCCACCCCUUCCCCCUGACUGGCAGUCUCCAUUUCCAAUUCCCAUGGAAGCCAAAGCUAAGAGUGGUGCCGGGGCACCAAAGGCAGCCCCUGCCCCCAAGGCUGAGAAACCCACGGAGAAGGCUCCACCCCAGAAAGAGAACCCCGCCCCUGCCGAUCCUCCCCCAGUAGCCCCUGCCCCGGAGAAGCCCCCGGAGGACGGAGCAGCCGACCAGGACGGGGUGACUGACAAGGACGCAGCACCAGAGGGCGCUGACGCCGGGGAAGCCGGCACAGACUCCCUGGAGAGCCUGAAACCCUUCCUUAUCGGUGGGGCUGUCAUCGCAGUUGCUGCUAUCCUGCUGGGGGCGCUGUUGUUAGCACGGAGGAAUUGAGAGCGUCGCUCAGAGUCUACUGGUGGAUUAGUUAGCAGCGUGUUUGCGGAUUGGUUAAUUUAUUGGUUAUGGAGUGACUGUAUCUUGGGGUAUGGGUGGAAGGGAGCAGAGAGUUUGCAUUCACUCAUAUUAGAAGUGUAGUUCAGUUUAGCUGGUAGUUAGAAUGACUUCUGGUGUGUACAAAAUACAGAUAUAUUCAGGCCUGUACACUAAUACAAGCAUAUACAUGCACUAUAAGUUGUACCACCCUGCACACACAAACAUACCCACUUAUCUACAUGUAUACACACCUGCUAAUGACAUAAAUAGUUGCCCACUUUGAAGCUUAGCUGUUAAACAAGAACAUGUACACAAGCAUACAAUGCAUUAACACUUGCUAAUGAGAACUUUAUCACAAUUGAAGCUGAAUGCCAUGGAAGCAAACAUUCCUGUAUCACAAUAGUCAUCAAUUCUUAACCUACUAACCCAGUAUUCUGCUGGCCAAGCAAUUUCAACAUUAAUAUUGACAUCAACCACCAAUGUUUCACAGCAAAAUUAAUCUAGUAAAAUGAAUGAUUUUGAUCACCCAAAUGUAGUUCUGCUUGGGCCUCAGUUUCAGUGGUAAAUUAAUCCAUGAUAAUGUGUAGCUUGACAUUCAUUCAUACACAGGAAAAAAAAAAUAGCAUGCAAUGGGCCACUUCAAAUUUUUUGUAAGUCCAUUGCCGGGUCCAGAGGGCCAUUGUACCACAGGUUACGGACCAGGUGUCACUCAGACGUUACUGGGUCUCACACUCAAACUGAUGUCUAAUAUUAAAGAGAUGUCACUUAAAGUCAAUGCAGAGUCAAGCUGGUGAAACACAAUGAGACCUGGAAGCGUUCCAGGAAGGAUGGAGGGUGCAGUGGUGAGAUCUGUGCCAGGAAAGAGAAGAUGGGUGUUGGCUGUUAGGUGAGACUGACAUCAACACACCACAGAUAUGCUCCAUCAUCCAUUUGGAGCUUCCGAUUCUGAAGUCCAUGGCAAAACAAUUUCCCUCUUAUAAUAUUUACAUUACGAUAACACGUAAAUCUAAGAUAAUAUGUAAAUAUAUGGUUCAACUACCAACGGCCCCCUUGCAGAAGCUGUGGAUUGACCAAUAUCUGUAUAUUUAGUGGGUCAGUAACAGCACACUUUUACAUUACAGAAAUGUAGCAGACACUCGUAUUCAGAACUAGUUACACACCUUUCACUUUUUUUUUACAUAGUAUUCAAAUAUUGAAAGUAUAUUAAUGUCAAAACAAAGAAGAAAUUACACAUAAUAUAUGGUCUGCACAAUUCCUGCCCAAAAGAUCCAGUAUACGUUGACAAUUUAACCUUUAAGCAAAACUGUUUGCUUAAGGUUGUGGAGGUCUACCACAAAAUGCAAUACAUGGGUAAAGGCAAUCUAUGCAUGGUGGGCCAUUAAGGGAGAAAAGAUUAAGUGAAUUAGAUCCAUGCCAGAAAGUAAAUGGUUUCAAGCCAGGACCUUGAGGUACACCUUUUAUCCAAUUUUUUUUGGUUAUUUUAUGCUGUAAUUUUGGUAUAUUACAGCAUAAAAUAUUUCACAAUUAAGCAUGACCAAUUGGAUAAUUUGUAGCAUCAACUGACCUGACUGUCUCAUUGUUUAUGAUGCAAAACACUAUUUGCAUUCAUGUAUUAUAAUACAUAUUAGGCAAGGCCUUUGUGAGAUUUUGGACUAUGAUUUUACUACAGGCUUUUGUAGUAUUACAGUUUCUAUAAUGCAAUAUAACCAGAAGAGGGCUUUUUGUUCACCCUCUUGAAAUACAAUCCCAUUGUGGUCAGGUUGUUGUAAUGAAAACAGACCAGCAGACAACAGAUGGAUUUGAUAUUUUACACCUUCACAGUAACCAAGAUUGACAGAGGUUCAUUUAGGACCAUGUAUGUAUGCUAAAUAACAAAGAUAAAUAUAUAGAAAGUUUAAGGUUUGUUGUUGUACUGCAUGUGAAAUAUGAGUAUCUCUCCUCUAUUGGUCCUAGUGGCUGCCAAUUUCCACAUGUCUGUCCUGUCCCUUCAUAAGAAACACCUCUGCCCCAAUGCACCUUCUGCAUGGUUCAGAUUUUAAAAAAACUUGACCAAUCACAGGCCUCUCUGCAAAGGGGCACUUGGCUCACUAUAAUAUACCUCUAGCACAGACAUCACACACACACGCAUGCACAUACAUGCACACACACACACACACACACACACUCACCAUGUGUAGGCAUCCUGUAAACCCAAAUAGCAUUCAACCUGCCACUUGUCACUACAACACAGAUAAGAAAAACUGUUCCAGUUUCUCUCUUAAUUUCCUUCUUCUCCUUCUUCUUCUUCUUCCUCUUCUUCUCCAGUGCGUAUAAAUGCAAUAAUUCGGGUAGGACUUCACGUUUUAGCACACAUAGUGAUUUGAUGAUGAACACAACAAAGACAAGGAUGGUGACUAUUGCGCUUGAUAUAUCCACUCAGUUUUCCUGUACUAUAUAUAUUUUUCUCCUCUGUUUCCUCUUCCACCCCCAGUGCUCUCUAUAAAA